ensembl:snoRNA small nucleolar RNA SNORD35
UGCAAGUGAUGUUUUUCUCACGAUGGUCUGCUGAGCCCCCAUGGUGAACAGGGUUCUGAUGAAAUUGCCUUGUGGCUGAACUGAUGGUGCUUGAAU